GCCAAAAGUCUCAUUUUUUGAUCAAAAGUUUUUGCACUGGCAAGAGAUGGUUUUUCGGGCGUGGUGCAAAUGGUGUAUCAUGCAAACCUGCAAAGGAAAGACCUUUUUUUCCAACUUGAGUCAGGUGAAU